UACGGGGGGGGCAAGCGUUGUUCGGAAUUACUGGGCGUAAAGGGCUCGUAGGUGGCCAACUAAGUCAGACGUGAAAUCCCUCGGCUUAACCGGGGAACUGCGUCUGAUACUGGAUGGCUUGAGUUUGGGAGAGGGAUGCGGAAUUCCAGGUGUAGCGGUGAAAUGCGUAGAUAUCAGGAAGAACACCUAUGGCGAAGGCAGCACUCUGGGACGGUACUGACGCUGAGACGCGAAAGCGUGGGGAGCGAACAGG
rnacentral:rRNA from 1 species